rnacentral:lncRNA from 1 species
AUAGUUUAAUUUACAAAUCAGAGAAAAUGUAUGCAACAAGACUUCUUUCCAUGUACAAAAAGAAUCCUAGUGCACUUUCAGACCCACCACCAUCGGGGCCAAAUUCAAGUUAUCUUGUGAUAUUGGAUGAAGAAGCUCAAACUUACUCUUGUUUUGGUUUGUGCAAGGAUACUAGAAUCAAGAAUUUUCCUUUACCUCAAAACAAAAAUUUAACCAUCAUUAUUUCAGCAGGUGAAACAACCCUAAGUGAAGAAGCUAUGUUCAUUCCAGUAUUAAAUCAACCAUUGUCUUCUAAUCGCUACUACGUUAUAAGAAGGAAGGGAAAGAAUCAAGGGUAUGUAUUAUUUAAUAAUUUAUCUAUAUCAACCAACUUAUAGCUUUUUUUGCUUUUUAACAAUAUUAGUAUUAUUGGUUUUUAAAUAAUUUGAAUAUUAUAGGACAAGAUUCAUUUGCAACUCAUUUAUUUCCCAUAAAUUCCAUUUCAUGCUAAUUAACCCUCCUUAAUUUUUAUCAAUGAAAGAAUUUUAUAGCAUUUUUCUCCAGGAAAUUAAAUUUGGGGAAUUUGAAAUUAGUGCUUAAAAGUAAAAAAUAUAAAAUUUCUUCAUUAUUCUUUCAUGUAAGCCUAGUUGAACCACGAUCAUCGAAAUAUUGUCUCAGCAUAUCAUUGGAGCACAACACCAUGAUUGUUUUUACUGUUUAUACAAAAUCAAUUCUAAGGUUUAGUCUAAUGGUAAAAAAACAGGCUUUGGACUUGGAGGUUCCGAGUUUAAACCAUGCUAGUGUUUUUUGAGGUUGGUAAAUAUAAAUACCUUUGUGAGUACUCAUUGAACCAGGAAAUAUUAUGUGCUUUGGACUGUGAUACAUUCCCCUAAUCCUAAAUUUAAGCAUCUAUUUCAUAACUUUAUUGUUUCAUUUUACUUGUGUGUUUAACAAUUUUAACAUUUUUAAUCCUCUUUUUAAGUGCAUGUUUUGAUUGUCGAUGAGUUUGGAAAAAUAAAGGUGACAUGUGAUUUUGUUAAAACUCUAAAUUAUAGUUUUUUUCAAAAUUGUGGUAACCUAUCAUGACUCAACCAAUCUCACACCCAACUCAAACAUGCGCUAAAACUUUAAGGAAAAUAGAUUAAUAAGUAAUAGCGGUUCUUUCAAAAUUAAUUGUGAAUUUUGAAUUGAUUUCAGCCAAGCUAGUACAAGUUCAAAGGAAGAGGACAAGACCACAUGUUUAUGUUGUCGUUUUGUCCGUGAUGUUAAACCAAAACCUUUGGAGCCCUUCAAUGAUUAUCAGCAGGUUGAAAUAAUCAAGAAGAGUCAUGGUUUUCACGCAAAAUCUAUCGCUUCAGAUGGAAUUCCUCCUGGUUUAUUGAGGGAAAAAGGGUGGACACUUUAUGCUAGCACUCCCCGCAACUACCAAUUAAGCCAAGCUUUAGGCUCAAAUGAUUCCUUGCGUUCCAAGCUACCAAAUUUCAAUUUUCCAAUUUUGAAUGAUUGUUCUGAAUCAGUGGUUGUUGGAAAGUGGUAUUGUCCUUUUAUGUUUGUUAAGGAAGGAAUGAAUUUAAAAGAGCAAAUGAAGAUGUCAAUGUUCUAUGAGCUAACACUUGAGCAAAGAUGGGAGAAGAUAUUUUCAAAGGAAAAUAGUGGAGAAGGUGGUGUGGUUGUAGAUGUUGCUAUUCAAACAGAAGUUGCUAAGGUUGAAGGAAAGGAUGCUGUUUGGGAUGAAAAUAGAUUGGUUGAUGGAGUUUUGUGGUUUAAGAGUGUUGAAAAGAAAAGUGUUGGAUUGAGUUUGGAAGUUGUUGAGGCAAUGAAAUGGGAACAAAGAAGGUUUGGAUGGAAUGCUGGGAAUGGAAGACAAGUGAGAGUAACAAAAGUUGAAGAGUUUGAUGGAACAAACAAAUGGAAGAAAUUUAGUAGUUAUGUGUUGGUUGAAAGUUAUUCAUUGAGGAGAAUGGAUUCAAAAUUGGUUCUUACUUAUGAUUAUAGACACUCACAUCAAAUUAGGAGCAAAUGCGAAUGAUGAUUUUCUCAAACAUUUGUUUACUUUAAACUUUCUUCUGAUUUGUUCACUUCAAUAUUUUGUUCUUGUUAUUCAUUAUUAUAUUAUGUACAGCUCAUUUAUGUAUACUAAUAGUUGAUGUUAGAGCCCACAUAUUUUGGCUCCUUUAUUUUGUGUAUGCAAGUAAAUAUGAAAGGGUACUCCGAUCCAUGCAAACUACUAUCCCAUAUAAUCAUUAUUAGUUCUCUUUUGUUUGUUUUUUUUUUCCAUAAGAAAGAAUCAAGUUAUCAACUGGCCGAACUUGUAUAAUCCUUUUUCACUAACUAUAUUAAUUAGAUUGGAUAGCCACUUUGGUUCAAAACAUCAAAAGAAAUUCACAUCACAAAAUUGCACUAAUUCAGCAAUGGCUGAUCACCACUCAAAUUCAAUGUGUUUGUAGAUUAUGUUUUAGUUUUAGAUCCUCAACUAUAAGCAUCAUUUGUAGUGAAAAUUAUCAUAUGGUCCCCCCCUCCUCCCUCCCUCCGUCCCUCUCUCUCUCUCUCCAUAUAUAUGCAAAUUAGAGCAAAACACUUGGGUCAUGAUACAAAUCUAACUCAUUCUUGGUUUAAACCUUCUCUUGGCACUAUUUGGUGUAAUAUUGAUUGUGCCUCUUUCAAUAACAAUUUCAUUACGUGGUAUGAAAUUAUGUCCUAGAGAAUCAGCGAGACAGUUUCUUCUCCAUGGUCAAUAUGAUUGGAUGUGCUGCAAUGUCACCACCAUAGAAGCUGAAGUUGUAGGCUUCAAGAAGCUAUCAAAGUGGCAAUUUCUAGAGAUAUGCAAAUAUAGUAGUGUUCAAAUUGGAUUGUAAGCCGGUUGUGUGGAUGCCAUCUCUCUUCCUUGUAUUCCGUUCAUUCGUUUGGAGGUAAGAAAAUAAGGUAUUUUAUAACAUUGUUAGAGUCUCCUUAUGUCUCACUAAUCCCCAUAAUUUGUAUGACGUACCACAUACUUUAUACUACAUCCGUCUCUAAUUAUAAGACUCUUUUGAAUUUUUUUCUUUGUUCCUUUUUAUAGGAUCCUCUUGAAUCUUCAUUUAUCAUCUUUCCAAGUACCACACAAAUCUUCUGAUGUCUUUGCUUUGCCGAUUUGCAUGAUUUCUUCUUGAAUUACAUCAAAAACACCAUAAAAUUGCUAUAUUUCAAAAAUACAUGCAUAUUAAAUGUGACACCGUCAUGAAAAUAUUCCACCAUACGUAUACGCAUUUGACACCAUUACUCAAAAUACAUUACCAACAGGGCCAGCCCUAGUCAAGUGCAACCAGCCCCUUGGCACAGGGACUCACACUUAGAGGGGCAUCAAAAUUAAAAAAAAGGAAAAAAUACUUGUACCUACGGACAAAAUCCGUCACUAAAUGUUCCGUAGGUAAAUGUUUGGAAGACAACAAUUAUGAUGUCAAUUAUGAAUUGUCCAUAAGUAAAGAUCUAUUUAUCCUUAGCUAAAAGUCAUGUUUGAACCCUUGCUUAUAUAUUUAACUACAAUUUAAUUGUCUAUUACUAUAAACAGUGUUGGAUUUUUUUUACAAUUCUUUUUAAAUGAAAAUUGUCAAGUCUGUAACUGGACCUCCGAAUUAUCAGGAACGAUUAAGAUUACCGCCUUAAGUUUAAGUUACGAAAAUUAGAAAUAUUUGAGUUCAAGAAUCAGAAUAGUCAAUGAAAUAUUGUUAGAAAGGACCAAGUCAAUACACAAUGGAUUUUUUGUAUUGAACCAACCGAAUAUUCUAUGAAAAAUUCUAUUAGGCGACAAUGACAAUAUGUACGUGGAGCAUAUGUAAAGAAGAUAUAACCAGCACACGGUUUAUCAUGAAUUAAACCAUGUCUUAUUUUUAAUUAGUCACUACCUAACAAAUGAAAAUUCUACGUUCAAACUAGAUGUUUGACAAUUGAUGUAACAUGGAUAAGAAAUACUCCCUCCGUCCCUAUAUAUAAGACCCUUUUGCCAAAAUCAUGGGAAUUAAGAUAGUGGAUAUUUGUAUUAAAGUUGUUUGUAAUCACUAUUGUUUUUACAAUUUUAUCCUUUAAGAAAGAAGGUUAGUUUAUGUUUUCAACAUGUUAUUUAUUGUUGAUUGAAGGAAAAAAUGUAUAAUAAAUAGGGGCAUGUAUGUAAAUAAAUAAUUAAUGUAGUUGGAAAUAACAAAGGGAUCUUAUAAAAAAGGACAAAAAAAAUUCUCAAAAGGGUUUUAUAAUUAGGGACGGAGGGAGUAUGAAGUAUAUAAGGAUACACCUACAUUCAUAAACAUAAACAUUGUUUAAUAUCCUCUCAAAAAUAUCAUAGUUUAAUUUAUAAAUCGGUGAAAAUGUAUGCAACAAGACUUCUUUCCAUGUACAAAAGGAAUCCUAGUGCUCUUUCAGAUCCACCACCAUCAGGACCAAAUUCAAGUUAUCUUGUGAUAUUGGAUGAAGUAGCUCAAACUUACUCUUGUUUUGGUUUGUCAAAAGACAAUAGAAUCAAGAAUUUUCCUUUACCUCAGAACAAAAAUUUAACCAUCAAUUUAUCAGCAGGUGAAAGCACCUUUUUGGAAGAAGCUAUGUUCAUUCCAGUAUUGAAUCAACCAUUGUCUUCUAAUCGCUACUAUGUUAUAAGAAGGGAGGGGAAAUAUCAAGGGUAUGUAUUUAUUUAAUUUUAAUCAUUUUCUCGUAAUUUUUGUACAAGUUUUUCCCUGUCAUCCCAACUGAGAGUAUUGUAAUAUGAGACAUAAUUAUAUUUGUGUUGGUAAUUAUCUUUCAUGGUUAAAGAAAGAGAAAAGAUAGAUUCAUAAAGUAAUAGUGGUUCUUUCAAAAUUAAUUGUUAAAUUUGAAUUGAUUUCAGCCAAGCUAGUACAAGUUCAAAGGAAGAGGACAAGACCACAUGUUUAUGUUGUAGUUUUGUCCAUGAUGUUAAACCAAGAGCUUUGAAGCCCUUCAAUGAUUAUCAGCAGUUUGAAAUAAUCAAGAAGAGUUAUGGUUUUCAAGCAAAAUCUAUCGCUUCAAAUGGAAUUCCUCCUGGGUUAUUGAGGGAAGAAGGGUGGGCACUUCAUGCUAGCACUCCCCGCAACUACCAAUUAAGCCAAGCUUUAGGUUCAAAUGAUUCCUUGCGUUCCAAGCUACCAAAUUUCAACUUUCCAUUGACUUAUGAUCAUUCUGGAUCAGUGAUUGUUGGAAACUGGUAUUGUCCUUUUAUGUUUGUGAAAGAAGGAAUGAAUUUAAAGGAGCAGAUGAAGAUGUCAAUGUUCUAUGAGCUAACACUUGAGCAAAGAUGGGAGAAGAUAUUUUCAAAGGAAAAUGAAAAUAGUGGAGAAGGUGAUGUGGUUGUAGAUGUUGUUAUUCAAACAGAAGUUGCUAAAAUUGAAGGAAAGGAUGCUGUUUGGGAUGAAAAUAGAUUGGUUCAUGGAGUUUUGUGGUUUAAGAGUGUUGAAAAGAAAAGUGUUGGAUUGAGGUUGGAAGUUGGUGAGGCAAUGAAAUGGGAACAAAGAAGGUUUGGAUGGAAUGCUGGGAAUGGAAGACAAGUGAGAGUAACAAAAGUUGAAGAGUUUGAUGGAACAAACAAAUGGAAUAAAUUUAGUUGUUAUGUGUUGGUUGAAACUUAUUCAUUGAGAAGAAUGGAUAAAAGUUUGUUGCUGACUUAUGCUUAUAGACACUCACAUCAAAUUAAGAGCAAGUGGGAAUGAUUAAUUUUUACUUUAAUCUUUGGGCUUCUUCAGUAGUUCUUGUUAUUCAUUAUUAUACUAUGUACAACUUAUUUAUGUAGCUACACAUAGGAUGUUAGAGCCGGCACAUUUUGGCCCCUUUAUUUUUGUGUAUGUAAAAGGCGUGUCUUAUAUAUACUCUUUUUUAUUUGAGCAAUUCUAUAUAUUUUUCUUUAAUCAAAUAAAUUUAAAUUGGUGUUAUAACUUGCUUUAAAAAAAAUUGGUGUCACAACCAGGGCCGUUCCUGGAAGGUGCAAACAGCUCUACUGAGCUGGGCCUCCCCAAUUUUGGAGCCCAACAAUUUUUUUUUAAUAUAUAUAAUGCAAUGAAAAUAUAAUAUAUACAGAUAACAUUGUAGUAUUAACAAAAUUGAAGGCGCGUCCCAGUGGUAAAUUUUGUAGAAGUUGAACUUAUGUACUCUGGUUCAACUCCUCUUCUUCCAAAAAGCUCUGACAACAAACAUUAUAAUUAUUCUCUAAAAAUAUAAAAUAAAAAACAUUAUAAUUUUUUUUUUGCUCUUUUAUAAAAAUUGUAUUUUUAUUUUGACUAGGGGUCUAUUUUUAUUUGAGAGCCGAGCUGAGCCUCCACUUUUGUAGGGACGGCCCUGGUCACAACUAUUGAACUGUUCCAUUUCGUCCAUCGUCUAUGUUGUUGUGAAUCAUAUUAUUCCGGUGAGGACUAGAUUACCUUCUCUUGUUUAGAGGAUAUUUACCCUUUCAAGAUAUCAACCAAUCAAAAUGUAAUAUACAAAUGUAACAUUAAAUGUCAAAUAAAUGAGUCAAUUUUUCUAUAAAAAAAAUCAAUUUUAAUAAGGUAACUUUUAAUUUUUAUUUGAUUAUAUUGAGGUAUACAAUCUUAAUUAAUUUACACUAUAAAGUUUAUAACAAUUAAAAUUUCACAUUAAAUUCAAACCAUCAUGGUUGUGUUUCGUAACACGAAUAAGCUAGCUUAUAGCUUGUUAGACUAGCUUAUAACCUUGUUUUGAUAUAAUAAGAUGUGUUUGGUAAAAAAAACUUUUUUCACUAGCUUAUAGAGUUUUUUGAGAAGCUAUUUCAAGUAGCUUUUGAGCUUAUAGCUGGUAGUUUUAUAUAUUUUCUUCCAAUUUUAACCCUAUUAUUUAAUUCAAUUAUUUUUUAAUAAAACAAAUGCCACGUUUUCUCCUUUGAAAAAAAAAAAACUGUCAUGCUUUAUUUUAUUUUUUAAUGAACGCUUUAUAUUUGUUUCUUAAAAUAAAUGUUUUAUAUUUAACACUAACUAGCCUACGGUACGUUGUAAAAUUUUAUAUAUUCUUGCUUGCAUUUUUUUCCACCUUCCUCUUAUUUUUGGGAUUCAUAAAAGUAGAGAUCAAUGAGCUUUUGCCCUCUUGUACAAAAAAAAAAAAAACAGAGAUCAAAAUUGUCGGUGAAAUUUUAUUGGAGACUAAAACCAAAAGUUUGAAUAAUUACAAGGAUCCAUAACAUAGUUAACCAUAAAUUAAAAUAUUAAAAAAUAAAUACAUUAGAAAAUAUGUCUCUCUCUCUCUCUCUCUCUCUCUCUCUAUAUAUAUAUAUAUAUAUAUAUAUAUAUAUAUAUAUAUAUAUAUAUAAACAAGUCCUUUUAUGUCAUUUUAUAUUUAUCAGUCACUUCAACAUCUAAUUUUACCAAACACUUCAAUUUUAAUAAACCAUCUUUUCAGCUAUAAGCUAUGAGUUAUAAGACAUCAGCUAUAAGCUUGUUUUUCAACUAGCUUAUAGCUUAUUUUUACGAAACACACCCCACAUACGUUCAUAAAUUUUGUUCCAUUCCAAAACCUAGAACACACAUAACGUGCAAUUUCUUCUUCAUUCUUCUUCCCAUCUUGAUUGUUCAAUUCUCUCGUUCGAGAAUUGCCAUCGUUUCCAAUUAUCUUGAGAAUCGUUGUCGUCCUUAUGAUUUCAGACAUUAUGAGAAUCGGUGUUGUUUCCAUAAUCACAUCAAGUAUCAUGACUUGAUUUUUCUUCUUGAUUUGAUUUUUCAUUUUCGUUUUUUUCUCACUACUAUCGUGACUUGAUUGCAACCGUUUUACACUUAUAAUGCGACAUUGGUGACUUUCAACUUUGACAUGAAUUUCAAUGAUGCUUCCUUUUUUAUUUGGGUUUUGAGUUUGAUUGAGUUGUUUGAGAUUAUAUAAAAUUGUAUUUUAUCACACUAUUUUGCGUUUGAUUAAGAUAAAUGGAUCUUCAAUGCGUUGAUUAUUAAUUUUAUUUUUGGUACAAUAUUGAUUAUUAAAUUUAUUUUUGGAAUUUGUUUUAUUCAAAUCAUUAUAUUGUGUUGUUAUGUUGUUUCAGUUCCUGGUGAAUUUUGUGUUAUUGAAAUGAACAUUUGUUGAGAUUGUGAACACGGUGUGAGGUCGGUUAAAGCUAUGGAAGAGAAGACAAAGUGAAAUAAAUAAAUAAUAAAUAAUGCUAAUACGAACAUGAAUUUCAUAAGGUGAGCGUUAAUUCGUGAGCAAUUUGUGGUUAUAGCUUUUGGAAACAACACUAGUUCUCACAAUGUUUGGAAUCAAAUGGACGACAACGAUUCUCACGAUAAUUGAAAACGACGGCAAUUCUAGAACGAGAGAAUUGAACAAUCAAGAUGAAAAGAAGAAUGAAGAAGAAAUUGCACGUUGUAUGUUCUAGGUUUUGGAAUGGAACAAAAUUUAUGAACGUAUGUGGGGUGUGUUUGGUAAAAAUAAGUUAUAAGCUAGCUGAAAGCUGAAAAACUAGCUUAUAGUUGAUGUCUUACUGAUAGCUUAUAGCUGAAAAGAUCAUUUAUUAAAAUUGAAGUGUUUGGUAAAAUUAGCUGUUCUAGAAGCUGAUAAGUAUAAAAUGACAUAAAAGGACAUGUUUUUAUAUAUAUAUAUUUUCUUUCUAAUGUAUUUAUUUUCUCAAUAUUUUAAUUUAUGGUUAAUUAUGUUUUGGAUCCCUAUAAAUAUUCAAACUUUUGGUUUUAGUCUGCAAUAAAAUUUCACCGACAAUUUUGAUCUCUGCUUUUUUUUGUACAAAAGUGGGCAAAAACUCAUUGAUCUCUACUUUUAUGAAUCCCAAAAAUAAGAGGAAGGUGGAAAAAAUGCAAGCAAUAAUAUACAAAAUUUUACAACGUACCGUAGGCUAGUUAUAGUUAAAUAUAAAGCAUUUCUUUUAAGAAAUAUAUAUAAAGUGUUAAUUAAAAAAUAAAAUAAAUCAUGGCAGUUUUUUUUCACAGGAGAAAACAUGGCAGUUAUUUUAUUAAAAAAUAAGCUAUGAACUUGGCCGUUAUUUUUAGGCUUAAUUGCACUUUUGGACCCCUAUCUUUCCAAAAGUUGCGGUUAUGGACCCCUAACUAAUUUAAAUACAAAGCAACCCCCUAUGUUUUGAUUCUUUGGCAGUUUUGGAUCCCCAAAGCAAACAAAAAAAUGACACAUGGCACCUCACUUAGGGUGCCACGUCAGCGUUGACCAAGUCAAAGAAUCAAAACAUAGGGGGCUGUUUUGUAUUUAAAUUAGUUAAGGGUCCAUAACCGCAACUUUUGGAAAGAUAUAGGUCCAAAAAUCCAAUUAAGCCUUAUUUUUAAGCCAUGGACAUGUUGUUUUAUUAAAAAAUAAUUAAAUUAAAUUAAUAGGGUUAAAAUUUGAAGAAAAUAUAAAAACUAACAACUAUAAGCUCAAAAGCUACUUGAUAUAGUUUCUCAAAAAACGCUAUAAGCUAGUGAAAAAAGCUUUUUCCCAAACACAUCUUAUUAAGAUUGUAUACCUAAAUAUAAUUAAAUAAAAAUUAAAAGUUACCUUAUUAAAAUUGAUUUUUUUUUUAUAGAAAAAUUGACUCAUUUAUUUGACAUUUAAUGUUACAUUUGUAUAUUACAUUUUGAUUGGUUGAUAUCUUGAAAGGGUAAAUACCCUCUAGACAAGAGAGAGUAAUGUAGAAAAAACCGAUUAUAAUUGAUUCUAUUUUUAGAAAAAAAUUGUCUCAUUUAUGACAUUUAAUGUUGCCAAUGUAUAUUACAUUUUGAUUGGUUGAUAUCAUAAGAGGGUAAAUACCCUCUAAACAAGAGAGGGUAAUCUAGAAGAAGAAAAAAACCAUUCAAACCCAUUUCAUACUUCUAAUAUUCUGUAAUUCAGAUUUUUAGAUAUUAUAUUCUAUUGUUGGAAUGAUGAUACACUUUAUUGCAAGUCAUCCAGAUUGGAUACUAAAACUCACCAAUAUUUAUGAGUGCACCUUUCUCAUGUUGCAUGAUACAACAUGCAACAAACUUGCUUUCGCAGUGAUUCAAAGGUUAGCUUCCCUAAUUUUUGUUCAAUACUUAAAAUUGUUGCAACAUUUGAAAAUUUGUAUAUGUAAAUUGUUGCUCUAAACCGUCCUAAGCUUUGUAGUACAAGCACUUCCUACCAAAGGCAUGUUAGGGGGUACAAAAUAUUGAUAAUGUAUGUAAUUCGAUACAUGUUUAACUCUAUUUCUCUUACUUUUUAUCUUCUAUAAUUUAGACAUAUUUCCAAAAUACAUGCAAAUUAGAACUAUACGUGACACGGUCAUCAAAUUUUCUAUUUCAAAUUAGGGACAUAUACUAUAUGUACGUGCAACAUAUGUAUAGAAGACGUCACCCAUUAUAAAUAGUCAAACGCGGUUUAUCAUAAAUUACUCCACCUUGUAUUAUUAUAUAAAACUCUACAAUAAACAAUAAUUCAACGUUCAAACUAUAUGUUUGACAAACUAUAUGUAUAUAAAGGAUUCACGUACAUUCAUAAACAUAAUCUUCAAGAUCAUAAUUUAAUCUACAAAUCAGUGAAAAUGUAUGCAACAAGACUUCUUUCCAUGUACAAAAAGAAUCCUAGUGCUCUUUCAGACCCACCACCAUCGGGGCCAAAUUCAAGUUAUCUUGUGAUAUUGGAUGAAGAAGCUCAAACUUACUCUUGUUUUGGUUUGUCCAAAGACAAUAGAAUCAAGAAUUUUCCUCUACCUCAGAACAAAAAUGUAACCAUCAAUUAUUCAUCUGGUGUAAACAGUCAAACUGGACAUGCAAACACAUACGGUGAAGAAGCUAUGUUCAUUCCAGUGUUGAAUCAACCAUUGUCUUCGAAUCGCUACUAUGUUAUAAGAAGGAAGGGGAAGUAUCAAGG